rnacentral:misc_RNA from 1 species
AACUUUCGGCAACGGAUCACUUGGUUCUGGCAUCGAUGAAGAACGCAGCGAAAUGCGAUAAGUAAGGCGAAUUGCAGAAUUCCGUGAGUCAUCGAAUCUUUGAACGCACAUUGCGCCCUUUGGUAUUCCGAAGGGCAUGCCUGUUCGAGCGUCAUUAUCAACCCUCAAGCCCGGCUUGGUGUUGGAUCCCGCCGGGGGUAAACUCCGGCGGACCUCAAAGGUAAUGGCAGACCCCGUGUGGACCCUGGAUGCAGCGAGCUUUUUGGCACGCGUCGCGGUGGUCCUCCGGCUCGGUCUUGAAUAACAUUUUUUACACUGGUUGACCUCGGAUCAGGUAGGGAUACCCGCUGAACUUAAGCAUAUCAAUAAGCGGAGG